rnacentral:tRNA from 1 species
GCGCCAGUAGCUCAGCUGGAUAGAGCAACGGACUUCUAAUCCGUAGGCCGGGGGUUCGAGUCCUCCCUGGCGCGCCA